GAGAGCUUCAACAGCACUGGCUUAGCUGAAAAAUUGAUUCUGAUGCUGAAAAGUUUAGUAGGUGACCCUGAUUAAGA
rnacentral:lncRNA from 1 species